UACGUAGGGGGCAAGCGUUGUCCGGAAUCAUUGGGCGUAAAGAGCGUGUAGGCGGCCCGGUAAGUCCGCUGUGAAAGUCCAGGGCUCAACCCCAGGCGUGCGGUGGAUACUGCCGGGCUAGAGGAUGGUAGAGGCGAGUGGAAUUCCCGGUGUAGCGGUGAAAUGCGCAGAUAUCGGGAGGAACACCAGUAGCGAAGGCGGCUCGCUGGGCCAUACCUGACGCUGAGACGACGAAAGCGGUGGGGAGCAAACAGG
rnacentral:rRNA from 1 species